rnacentral:rRNA from 1 species
GACGAACGCUGGCGGCGUGCCUAAUACAUGCAAGUCGAACGCUUCUUUCCUCCCGAGUGCUUGCCCUCAAUUGGAAAGAGGAGUGGCGGACGGGUGAGUAACACGUGGGUAACCUACCCAUCAGAGGGGGAUAACACUUGGAAAUAGGUGCUAAUACCGCAUAACAGUUUAUGCCGCAUGGCAUAAGAGUGAAAGGCGCUUUCGGGUGUCGCUGAUGGAUGGACCCGCGGUGCAUUAGCUAGUUGGUGAGGUAACGGCUCACCAAGGCCACGAUGCAUAGCCGACCUGAGAGGGUGAUCGGCCACACUGGGACUGAGACACGGCCCAGACUCCUACGGGAGGCAGCAGUAGGGAAUCUUCGGCAAUGGACGAAAGUCUGACCGAGCAACGCCGCGUGAGUGAAGAAGGUUUUCGGAUCGUAAAACUCUGUUGUUAGAGAAGAACAAGGACGUUAGUAACUGAACGUCCCCUGACGGUAUCUAACCAGAAAGCCACGGCUAACUACGUG